rnacentral:rRNA from 1 species
ACUCCGUACGGGAGGCAGCUAGUAGGGAACUCUUCCUACAAUGGGCGCAAGCCUGAUGGAGCAACACCGCGUGAGUGAAGAAGGGUUUCGGCUCGUAAAGCUCUGUUGUUAAAGAAGAACACGUAUGAGAGUAACUGUUCAUACGUUGACGGUAUUUAACCAGAAAGUCACGGCUAACUACGUGCCAGCAGCCGCGGUAAUACGUAGGUGGCAAGCGUUAUCCGGAUUUAUUGGGCGUAAAGAGAGUGCAGGCGGUUUUCUAAGUCUGAUGUGAAAGCCUUCGGCUUAACCGGAGAAGUGCAUCGGAAACUGGAUAACUUGAGUGCAGAAGAGGGUAGUGGAACUCCAUGUGUAGCGGUGGAAUGCGUAGAUAUAUGGAAGAACACCAGUGGCGAAGGCGGCUACCUGGUCUGCAACUGACGCUGAGACUCGAAAGCAUGGGUAGCGAACAGGAUUAGAUACCCCGUGGUAGGAUAGCG